ACCGUCGUAAACUAGAAUUUCCCUACGGCUUCUUAGCUUUACGAUGGCAACAAGUAUGGCGGCUGCUAGUGGUAGGUUUGAAAGUGCGAAGAGUAUCGAAGAGCGGAAAGAACAGACCCGGAAUGCCAGGGCCGAGGUGUUGCGCCAGGCUAAAGCCAAUUUUGAAAAAGAAGAAAGGCGUAAAGAACUUAAGCGACUUCGGGGUGAGGAUACAUGGAUGCUACCUGAUGUGAAUGAGCGAAUCGAACAAUUCUCACAGGAACACUCUGUGAAGAAAAAGAAGAAAAAAGACAAGCAAUCAAAAAAAGCAAAGAAAGAAAAGAAAAAAAAGAGCAAGAAACAGAAAUAUGAAAAAAACAAUGAGUCAUCUGAUAGCUCAUCGAGCUCUGAAGAUGAGUGGGUUGAGGCUGUUCCAUCCCAGACUCCUGACAAGGAAAAAGCCUGGAAAGUGAAAGAUGAAAAGUCGGAAAAAGAUGACACCCAAAUUAUCAAGAGGGAUGAGUGGAUGACUGUUGAUUUUAUGUCUGUUAAAACUGUGUCAUCAUCAUCACUCAAAGCUGAAAAGGAAACUAUGAGGAAAAUAGAGCAAGAGAAAACCCAAGCACUUGAACAGUCCAAACUGAUGGAAAGAGAAUUGAAUCCGUACUGGAAGGAUGGUGGGACAGGUCUUCCACCUGAAGACUGUAGUGUGUCAUCGAUUACUAAAGUUUCAGUGGUAGAAGAUGGUGGAUUAAGCUGGCUAAGGAAGUCUUAUCUAAGAAUGAAGGAACAAGCUGAGAAACAAAAUAGAAACUUUGAGGACAUUGUAGCCGAAAGAUAUGGGUCAAUGGAAAUAUUUCAGUCAAAAUUAGAAGACGCUGAAAAAGCUGCAUCUACGAAAGAAGAUUAUAGACGGGAACGGUGGAGGAAACCCACAUAUUCAGAUAAAGCACAAAAUUGUCAAGAAAGUAGAAAAUCAGACUUAGUAAAAUAUGGUAACAGUUCAAGGGAUAGAUAUGCUACAACAGAUACUGCAAAAAAUAGCAAUAAUGAACAAUUUAUUGGUGAUGAAAAAGAUAAGAGACCUGGGUCUUUAGAAACAUGUAGAAGAGAAUCUAACCCAAGGCAAAAUGAAGAGUUUUCUUUUGGCAAUUUGAGAGCUAAAUUCUUAAGACCCUCUGAUGAUGAAGAACUGUCAUUUCACAGAAAGGGCAGAAAAUUUGAACCACCUAGUUCAUCUUCAGCAUUGGUAGCUCAGGGCUCUUUGCACAGUGGUUUUAGAAAACCCACCGAGUACAGUGAAGAAAGAUUAACAUCAUGGAGUCGCUCUGAUGGGAGAGGAGACAAGAAACAUUCAAAUCAAAAGCCAUCAGAAACCAGUACUGAUGAAUACCAACACGUUCCAGAAGAUCGAAGAGAAAAAUCACAAGAUGAAGGCUUGAGAGAUGACCCUUCAAAAAAGGAACAUCUACAGGAUACAAAGUCUACAUUUGCUGGCAGUCCAGAGCAUGAGUCCAUUCACAUCCUGAGUGUUGAUGAGAAGAACAAGUUGGGAGCCAAGAUUAUCAAAGCAGAGAUGAUGGGGAAUAUGGAAUUAGCUGAACAACUUAAAGCUCAACUUGAAAAGGCAAAUAAAUUCAAAGAAACUAUAACACAUAUACCAAAAAAAUCUGGGGUAGAGAAUGAAGACCAGCAAGAAGUAAUCCUUGUCAGAACAGAUCAGUCUGGAAGAGUAUGGCCUGUGAACACACCUGGAAAAUCUCUUGAAUCACAAGGAGGAAGAAGAAAGAGACAGAUGGUUUCAACCCAUGAGGAAAAAGAAAGGGUCAGAUACUUUCAUGAUGAUGAUAAUCUAAGCCUAAAUGAUUUGGUCAAAAAUGAAAAGAUGGGAACAGCAGAAAAUCAAAACAGGCUCUUUAUGAGAAUGGCAUCUAAGUUUAUGGGAAAAACAGAUGGAGACUAUUACACCCUGGAUGACAUGUUUGUCUCCAAAGCAGCUGAGAGAGAACGUCUUGGUGAAGAGGAAGAGAACCAACGUAAAAAAGCUAUUGCUGAGCAUCGUAGUCUUGCUGCACAAAUGGAAAAAUGUCUGUAUUGUUUUGACAGCUCACAAUUUCCCAAGCAUCUUAUUGUUGCAAUAGGUGUUAAGGUUUAUUUAUGUUUACCCAACGUACGAUCUCUUACUGAGGGGCACUGCCUGAUAGUCCCUUUGCAGCACCAUAGAGCAGCUACUUUAUUGGAUGAAGACAUCUGGGAGGAGAUCCAGAUAAAAUCUAGAACAGUCAUCCAGUAAUUAAGCCAGAAAGGGAGUAUGAACAAACAUGAAGUAAGGAUGUUUGUGAGAUGUUCAGAAAAUCAUUGGUAAAGAUGUUUGAAGAUAAAGGAUUAGAUUGCAUUUUUUUGGAAACUAAUAUGAGCAUGAAGAAACAGUAUCACAUGGUUUAUGAAUGUAUUCCUCUCCCCAAGGAAGUGGGUGACAUGGCUCCCAUCUAUUUUAAGAAAGCCAUAAUGGAAUCUGAUGAAGAGUGGUCCAUGAACAAGAAGUUGAUAGAUCUCUCUUCAAAAGAUAUCAGAAAGUCUGUACCCAGAGGGUUACCUUACUUCUCUGUGGAUUUUGGCCUUCACGGAGGGUUUGCCCAUGUCAUUGAAGAUCAGCACAAAUUCCCUCAUUACUUUGGAAAGGAAAUCAUAGGUGGGAUGCUGGAUAUAGAACCAAGACUUUGGAGGAAAGGCAUCCGAGAAAGCUUUGAGGAUCAGAGGAAAAAAGCACUGCAGUUUGCUCAGUGGUGGAAACCAUAUGACUUCACCAAAAGUAAAAACUGUUGAGGUGUACCUUCCAUUUUAAAAUUUCUCUUCAGAUCCCGUUCAGUUUCAUUUCCAUUGCAUCUAAUGAAGCAACUGACCCUCAGGUCACAGGCAGAGAGAGUCACAGCAGCAGACUGCUCUGGGUUAGUGACAACUGUAUACAUCAGGAGAUUGUGUUGUUUUCUUCUUCACCUGCUCCUAUCUAUGGACUUCAUUUUAGUCACCAUGGAGUAAAAACAUAUAUUCGAUGAUCUGCUCACAUUCCUGCUCUCUACCUACUUCUUGGUAUUCCGAAUUGUUCAGCUAAUUUAGAGAAGGCCUUUUCUGAAGGGAUAUCUAGAAAGCGUAGGAAAUCCUUGGUUCAGAGGGAAGUGGGUCUGCUUCAUGGUUGUUAAGUCUAUUGUUUGGCUUCUUUUGCAUUUUUAAAAAUAAGACUUGAUUUAAUUUUAAUUUCAUAGGAUUUUAUAGAAAAGCUCUUAAUUUUCUACUAGCAGUAUAUAGUAUCACUUCUUUUUGUUAAAGGAGAAGGAAAUGUCCCCAAAGUAUUAAAGAAUUAAAUGAUACUGAAAA